GACGAGGGCGCGAGCGUUGUCCGGAUUUAUUGGGCGUAAAGAGCUCGUAGGCGGCUUGUCGCGUCGUCCGUGAAAACCUGCGGCUCAACUGCAGGCUGGCGGUCGAUACGGGCAGGCUAGAGUGCGGUAGGGGAGACUGGAAUUCCUGGUGUAGCGGUGAAAUGCGCAGAUAUCAGGAGGAACACCGGUGGCGAAGGCGGGUCUCUGGGCCGAUAUCGACGCUGAGGAGCGAAAGCGUGGGGAGCGAACGG
rnacentral:rRNA from 1 species